rnacentral:rRNA from 1 species
GAUGAACGCUAGCUACAGGCUUAACACAUGCAAGUCGAGGGCAGCACUAGGUAGCAAUACUGAGGUGGCGACCGGCGCACGGGUGCGUAACGCGUAUCCAACCUUCCCGUUACUCUUGGAUAGCCUUCCGAAAGGGAGAUUAAUACCCCCAUGGCAUUGAGUUGAGGCAUCUCUACUCAAUUAAAGAAAUUCGGAUAAGGAUAGGCUCGCGUGACAUUAGCUAGACGGCGGGGUAACGGCCCACCGUGGCUACGAUGUCUAGGGGUUCUGAGAGGAAGGUCCCCCACACUGGAACUGAGACACGGUCCAGACUCCUACGGGAGGCAGCAGUGAGGAAUAUUGGUCAAUGGUCGGAAGACUGAACCAGCCAAGUAGCGUGAAGGAUGAAGGUUCUAUGGAUUGUAAACUUCUUUUAUACGGGAAUAAAACCUCCCACGUGUGGGGGCUUGUAUGUACCGUAUGAAUAAGCAUCGGCUAACUCCGUG